UUUCCUGUGUCCUGUAUCCAUGCAUCCCUUUUGGGCAUGGCUGCAUUCCCAGCCUGGCUUGCUCCUGAUGCUCUUGCUCACUGGGUUUCCUAACACCAGGGGGGAAAAGCAGGGGAAGGCCAGGCUGUGAGUGGGUUUGGGAGCUGUGUGUGUGCUCAUGGCAGUGCUUCUCACCAUACUGACCUGUGUCACCCAAGGAUGGGGAUUGUUCCUCUGGAGAACUUCAUUCCCUUAUCUUCUAGAGGAUGUGCCGUGUCCUUGCUGUGCAGUGUAACUUCUCUGCCCUGUGUCCCCCAGUGCUGGUAAAUCCACUGAGAAUGCAGCAAGAGCAAAACCUCCUCAGCCCCAGCCCUGUUUUGCUGUGUUCCCUAAGGAUUGACACAUGUUUCUCCAUUGGUGGAGAGGACAUUUAUGCUUGGGGUGAACAGGGUAUGUAGCAAAUCCCAGCAUCAGACCCUGGUAAGACAAAACAGGCUUGAACUGACUCUCCCUGAUUCAGUCUCUGGCAGAAGCAUUUUUGAAAAAUGUCCCCACUGUCCCCAGCAUUUAUUGUGUUUACAAACGUCUGAGUGCAGUGAAUGGUUUAGCUGCCGGUGGUCUUUUCAGUGCUGUGCCAGUUAGCUCAGUUGCUAAGAGCCCAGGCAUGUCACUUCUGCAUUUUUUCCCAGUGACAGAUGAAAGGAGUGGGAGAACUCCAAUUUGGGCAUACCAGAGGAUGGGACUGCCAAGCAGCUUGUCUGGGGAGAAAAAAGAAAUACAGACUGGCAGUGUCUCAUGUUGGUGGAAGCAAAAAAACCUUUGUAACUCCUUUUCUUCUCAUCUCAUGUGCUUUUUGUGUAUUUUGCACACUAAUCGACCUGGAGACAGCAGCAGAAGGACUGAAGGAUCACAGUGGUGCCACCGUGCUGCAGCCACCUGUGCCUUGCACAGCCCUGCACCUGGUGCCAGAGCCCUGUGCAGAGUUGGUGCCUGGAGCCCGAUGGUUCCAGCCUGGCACAGCCUCCUUGCACCCUGCCUGGGUGGCAAACCCACCCUUCUAUUUGAUUUGUUGAUUUCCUUUUCUGGGUGAGUGUGCCAUUGUGCAGGACAAUGAAGCACGUUUAAGGUGGUAUCUGUUGAAACAACCACGAAACACUUGUAUUCACAGGGCAUUUUAUUAGAACUCUUCUAAUCUUAGCCUAACCUUAUUUUAUGGAUUUGACUUCAAAGUGUUAUUUAUAAAAAGAAUCACUGAAUCCUUAUGGUCUUAACAGUCAUGAGGUAAUCUUAGGAAAGUAUUUUAAUGAUGUUAAAGCAGCAAUCAGUCCAACGUGUUUAUGAAUUGGACCCAAAGUAAUUUGGAUCUUGUUGGAAUUGUGUACCCUGUCUUUCACCUUGGCUUCUUUUACUAUUCCUGCCCUCUUUCCAGCAUAAUCCAGUCCCUUAGACCAUGUCAAUGGGGAUGUGCUGAGGCUCUGUGUCAAAGAGGGCUCAUUCUGUCUCCACAGGCUGCCCUUUCUCUGUCUCCAGGGUAAUAGAUGCAUUAAUGCAUGGUCAGACUGUGGUCUGCCAUUAAAAUGCUCCUUUGUAAGUGCAUCUUUGGUAGCUUGGAGAGCUGACUACGUCAUGUGAACAUUUUUCAGUGCCACAAAAAGCUGGGGGAAGAAAGAAUCAAAUUUUGUUUAGUUUGGACUAAGUUGCCUUGAGCUAUUGGCACUCAUCUUCUCUUGGUGCAAACUUUAGAUCUAAUAACCAAUUUCAGAGUCCCAUCAUUAACAGUUCUCAUUUCCAAAGAGUUUAUAAUCUAAAUGGGCAGAUAGUCAAGUCUUUCCUCAAGCAGGGAUAUUAAAAGCUGCUUUAGAGCCUUGGUGCAGUCUUUUUGGCAGGAGCAAUUGCAUUAAUGCUCUCGUAGGUGAAACUCAAUUACUUCACUCUCUGACUCACAGAAACCUCCUCAGCUCUUAGGAGAGCACAGGCUGGUGGAGCUGAAGUCCAAGCAUUCUGCUCCCUAGGUGAUACCCUGAGAGAAGCUAUCAGGAGGAUGGGGCCUGCAGGUGCCAUGGAAUGUGCACUUCUGCAGGGCCUGAAGGCCAGGCUGAGCCCCCUGAGCUGGAGCUGUCCCUGUCACCAGUGGUGGUGGGCUGGGGGCUGAUGGGCUCCUCUGCCAUGGAGCAGGACUGUCCCUGUCACCAGUGGUGGGAUUCUCUGUGCUGAUGGGCUCCUCUGCCAUGGAGCAGGACUGUCCCUGUCACCAGUGGUGGGAUUCUCUGUGCUGAAGCUGUUGGCUCCACAGGAGAGCCCUUUCCUGCCCAGCUGGAUCACUCCCACUGGCCUCAUGGUCUGCACAUGACAAAGCAUCGAUGCAAUUCAGGACACUCAUCCUCCUCUGCUCUGGGCAGCUUCACUAAAACACAAGCCUGUUUGACAGAUGUACUCCAGCACACCUUUUUGACAGCUCCUAUGCCAGCUCCUCUUGCUUUUGUUCAGGGCCAGGCCUUUGCUGGUGGAACUUCUUCCAGGUUUUGACCCGAGUUUCUGAUUUAUCUCCUUUGUGUUCUGUGAAAAGUCAGGCUGCAGCAUUCAGGAACAAUGGUACAAUUACGUAAGAGCUCUUUUCCCCUUUCAGAGAGGACAGAAUGAAAAUCUCCAGGGAUAUCUGUUUGUCUUUUGGCAGUGCCUGGCAAAUGCUUAAACGCUGUUCAAUGUUAAACUAUCUUGCUUGGGACCAGCAUUGAAGAAAUAACAAAAUUAUGUUUGGUGGUGUUCUCUCAACUAGCAUCUCUUAGGUGCUGUUGCAAAGACCUGGGGCAUGGUUGAGAGGGAGAAACCAUUUUAAUUCUUGCAGAGAAUAAAUAUAUCUCUCAUGAAUUGAAGAAUCAGCUGUAUAUCAGGAGAAUUGUUGGGACUGCAAGUAUUUGAGGGGGCAUUUAAUACUAAAAUGCUGAUCAGAAGACUUAGGCACUGUAAGAAAUGUGCAUGGACAUUAAUGAUGAACGGGUCUGUUUUGGGUGUGCACUACAGGGUUGUGCUCCACAAGGUGACAGAUCAGUGCAGCUCAACAAGGACCUAAUGGGACAUCCACUUAAUUGUGCUUUAAAUAAAUCACCUUAUUGGUCUAUUAGCUGAUUCCAACCCUCAGAAGUACACAUAAGUUAUUACAGUGGAAAGUGCUUUAAAAACAUUAAUUGACUUUAUGUCAAGGGGGCUGAUUGUACAUCUCUGAACUAAUUCAAUUAAAUGGUGUAGGUGGUUUUAUUUUGGUUCUUAGCCAAUUUUGCUUCCAGCUCUCAUUCGGGGGAUUUUUUUUUAACCUUGUUGAACUUAAAGAACAAGCAACAAUUUUCUGUUGCUCUAGGCAUUUUGUUCCUUAAAAUUUCCCUUUAGUAAAUACUGAAGCACAUUUUUACAGGGCUAGUUUGCACCACUUUGUGCUGCUAUUCCUGACUAGCAAUUUGUGAUUUUCUUUUUGAGAUUUAAAAAUAGUUUCAUAUGUAUUUUGGUUACUUCAGGGAAGAAAAAAAUUUUCACAGAAAAUCAGUCUUUUUAAGUACAUUUGCAUUUUACCAGCAGAACUUAAAACAUUAAUUGUUCAAUAAACUCCAGCUGAAUGACAGAUACUAUAAAAGCAAAGAUGAAUAUUUCCGUGUUCUGAAACAAUGUUCCUUCCCCCUCUGCACCCGAAUGUUUUCUCCUAACAGUUUAUUCUUUCUUUUUCUCUAUGUAAAUAUUAUGGGACUCUGAUGGGAAAGAAGCUGAUGGUCAUCGUAUAAUAAAUAUCUGUUCUCCUGUGCUUAUAAAGUGGUGUGCAAACCCCUUAUAUGAAUGAUCCCCUGGAAAGGCUUAACUUUGGAGUGACUUUACCUUCCAUUACAAUAAUACAGUACCUUGAUCUUG